GCAGGAGUGUCCGAGAGGCCAAAGGAGCUACCCUUAGGAGGUAGUGGCUUAGUGCCUACACAGGUUCGAAUCCUGUCUCCUGCA
rnacentral:tRNA from 1 species